GUGCCAGCCGCCGCGGUAAUACGGAGGGUGCAAGCGUUGUUCGGAAUCAUUGGGCGUAAAGCGCGCGCAGGUGGCUUAUCAAGUCUGGUGUGAAAGCCCGGGGCUCAGCCCCGGAACUGCAUUGGAAACUGGUGAGCUUGAGUCCGAGAGGGGCCUGUGGAAUUCCUGGUGUAGGGGUGAAAUCCGUAGAGAUCAGGAGGAACACCGGUGGCGAAGGCGACAGGCUGGAUCGGCACUGACACUGAGGCGCGAAAGUGUGGGGAGCAAACAGGAUUAGAAACCCGUGUAGUCC
rnacentral:rRNA from 1 species